AAGUCGUAACAAGGUUUCCGUAGGUGAACCUGCGGAAGGAUCAUUAUUGAAUAAACUUGGCUUGCUGAUGCUGGUCUCUCUGGAGGCAUGUGCUCGCUGGUCAUCUUUACUUCUCCACCUGUGCACCCACUGUAGAACUGGGAUUUGGGACUGCUGUGCUUAUUUGCCGGCUUUCCUUGCUUCCCUCCAGUCCUACGUUUUUUUGUCACAUACACCUAUGAAAUGUAACAGAAUGUAUCACUAGGUCUUUGAACCUAUAAAACAAAUAUACAACUUUCAGCAACGGAUCUCUUGGCUCUC
rnacentral:misc_RNA from 1 species